rnacentral:misc_RNA from 1 species
AACGCAUAUUGCGCCCAUUGGUAUUCCUUUGGGCAUGUCUGUUUGAGCGUCAUUACAACUCUUCAACAUAAUGUUGGUUAUGGGCUCUGUUUUUAUAAAACAGGCUUUAAAGUUGUAUGCUCUGCAGGUUACUUUGCCAAACCAAAACAUAGUAAUUUUUCUUUGUUUCUAGUAAGGCUUUGUAUAUUCUGCCUGAAUAAAAAUCUUUUCUAAGGUUUGACCUCAGAUCAGACAAGGAUACCCGCUGAACUUAA